AAUCUUCCACAAUGGUCGACAGUCUGUUGGAGCAAUGCCGCGUGAUGGAAGAAGGUUCUCUGAUAGUAAAGCACGUUUGUAAGGGAAGAACAUGUACACGAGUAACUGUCUAUAGCUUGACGGUAACUUCCCAGGAAGCCACGGACCACUACGUGCUAGCAUCCGCGGUAAUACGUAGGUGGCAAGCGUUGUCCGGAAUUAUUGGGCGUAAAGCGCGCGCAGGCUGUCCUUUAAGUCUGAUGUGAAAGCCCACGGCUCAACCGUGGAGGGUCAUUGGAAUCUAGAGGACUUGAGUACAGAAGAGGAAAGCGGAAUUCCACGUGUAGCGGUGAAAUGCGUAGAGAUGUGGAGGAACACCAGUGGCGAAGGCGGCUUUCUUGUCUGUAACUGACGCUGAGGCGCGAAAGCGUGGGGAGCAAACA
rnacentral:rRNA from 1 species